rnacentral:rRNA from 1 species
GACGAACGCUGGCGGCGUGCUUAACACAUGCAAGUCGAACGGAAAGGCCCUGCUUUUGUGGGGUGCUCGAGUGGCGAACGGGUGAGUAACACGUGAGUAACCUGCCCUUGACUUUGGGAUAACUUCAGGAAACUGGGGCUAAUACCGGAUAGGAGCUCCUGCUGCAUGGUGGGGGUUGGAAAGUUUCGGCGGUUGGGGAUGGACUCGCGGCUUAUCAGCUUGUUGGUGGGGUAGUGGCUUACCAAGGCUUUGACGGGUAGCCGGCCUGAGAGGGUGACCGGCCACAUUGGGACUGAGAUACGGCCCAGACUCCUACGGGAGGCAGCAGUGGGGAAUAUGGCACAAUGGGCGGAAGCCUGAGGCAGCAACGCCGCGUGCGGGAUGACGGCCUUCGGGUUGUAAACCGCUUUCGCCUGUGACGAAGAGUGAGUGACGGUAAUGGGUAAAGAAGCACCGGCUAACUACGUG